UCCUUCGUACAAUCCAUUUAUCACCACGCACCGUCCACCACAGGGCCCCCCGAGGGCAGGGUGGUGACCUCCAAGCUACCCAGGAUCACGCAGGUGACCCGAUUCAGGGCGGAGAGCCUGGGCCGCGUCCCUGUUCUGCCACUGUGGACUGCAGGACCUUGGGUGUCCACUGACGUUCUCUGUCCAUUUCUCCUGUAUGACACUGGGAGGGUCAGGGACUGACUGUGCGUGCUCAGCAGAGGGGGUUCCCCACAGGGCCACUCUGCACCACCACUCAGCGGAGGUUCUGUAGCUGCCUGGGCCCCCAAAGUGGGCAGGGGAGACGUCCACAAGGGACAGCAGGUGAGGGGAGGUGACCAGGGCAAGAUUUGAAGCCCUCUGGCCUCAUGGCGGAGAAAACGGAAGGGAUUGCUUCCAUCCGGGCCCCAUGGGAAACUAGUGAGAGAUAGUGACCAGCAGCCUCACUGUCUCGAGUGGUCCUGUCCCCGUGCAGGUGGCUAUGGGUGGAAGCCACGUCACACGCACCACCCGAGCGCCUUGGCAUCUCGGACAGAGGCCGGCAAGUCAGGGUGGGGUGUCUGUGGGCGGGCUGGGGGCACAGGCCGGCUAGGAGUCAGAACCGGCUCGGGAGGGUCUGGCUUCUCACUGGCUGUCCUGGCGAGUCCCCCUCCUGCUGCUGUCUGAUGUGCUGAUCCAAUAGGGCAGUGAGCUGCAUGGGCUGGCGCUGGAGCAGGGUGUGGGUCUGGGCCAGCAGGAAGCUGAGUCCUCCUAACAGCUGCUAGCCCUGCAGCAGGGCCUGGCUGGGCAGCUUGGCGUAGUUCAGGGAAGCCCUGGCUGCUCAGGAUGGUGUCAUCGAUGCAGCCACCUGCAAGACACAGGCUCAGCUGGGCUCCCUACUAACAUAGCACCCCAACUCUACCCGCCCCCACCAACCUGCCCAGAACUCAGCUCCGCUUAUAGCCCAUCCCAUCUCCACUGUCGGGGAUCAACCCCCUCUGCUUCUCUCCAAAACUUGCCUAACACAUCACCUGGCCCCAGCUCCCCAUAAGCCAGUGUUUCCUGUCUUUUCUUCUCAUCCAAGGACCUGUGCACUGGGCUACAUUCCCUCCACCCACCUUUUUUUUUUUGAACAAGUUCUCACUAAGUCACCUUAGGCUGGGCUCAAAGCUGUGAUUCUCUUGCUUCAACCUCCCAGAGUGCUGGGCCUAGAGGCAUGUGCCACCACGCCCGGCUCACUAAACUUUUUUUGGUACUGGGGAUCGAACUUAGGACCCUGUGCUUCCGAGGCAGGCACAGUGCCACUGAGCUAAAUCCCCAGCCCUAAACUUUUUGGAAGACAGAAUCCUGUAGUAGAGGAAAGAAACAGGAAGUUAUUUUUUGGUGGGUACAGAGGUUUCAGUUUUAUAAGAUGGAAUUAUGAAAAUGGAUGGGGGUGAUGAUUAUACAUCAUAAACACAACUAAUAUUGUCCAUUGUGGUGGUGCAGGUCUGUCAUGCCUGCACUCAGGAGGCCCAGGCAGGAGGACUGCCGUGAAUCAAGGCCAGCCUGGACUACCUAAGGAGAUCCUGUCUCAAAAUAACAAACAAGCGGAAGAAUGUGCUGUUGACUCAGGCCUCUCCCUUGAGAAGAUCGCCCCACAACAACACCAGGCCCAGGGGCACCCCCUCUCCCCUGGCCCUCAGAAGCAGGUCGCUUGCUCACCUAGCAGUGGCAGGAAGGGCAUCAUCUUCAGGAUCCGCACCAUCUCCUUGACUUUGGGCUCCUCGCUGACCAACAGCAUGUUGUGCCCCACGAACAGGGGCAGCAGGCUUUUGUAUUUGGAAUCCUCUAGAAAGGGCUUCAGGACCUGGUGUGGCAGGAGAGUGGCCGAUGGAGAACAGCAGGGGGGACAGGCCUCUCACCGUGGUCACAGGUGGCUAUGGUGGCACCAGGGUGCCUCACCCCUCGCCACAGUCUAGGCACUAGAGCAGACAGCAGCUAGGCCAGGCCGACAGAAAGCCCUAGAGGGAGCAGAG
ensembl:lncRNA